rnacentral:tRNA from 1 species
GGGGAUGUGGCUCAGUGGUAGAGCACUUGCCUAACAUGCGUGCCUAAGUUCCAUUCUCAGCUCUCCCU